rnacentral:rRNA from 1 species
CGGGACUGGUGAGUAAUGUCUGGGAAACUGCCCGAUGGAGGGGGAUAACUACUGGAAACGGUAGCUAAUACCGCAUAACGUCGCAAGACCAAAGAGGGGGACCUUCGGGCCUCUUGCCAUCGGAUGUGCCCAGAUGGGAUUAGCUAGUAGGUGGGGUAACGGCUCACCUAGGCGACGAUCCCUAGCUGGUCUGAGAGGAUGACCAGCCACACUGGAACUGAGACACGGUCCAG